rnacentral:rRNA from 1 species
UACAGGGGGUGCAAACGUUGCUCGGAAUCAUUGGGCGUAAAGCGCACGUAGGCGGUUUGUCGCGUCUGCUGUGAAAUCUCAAGGCUCAACCUUGAGCUUGCAGUGGGUACGGGCAGACUAGAGUGUGGUAGGGGAGACUGGAAUUCCUGGUGUAGCGGUGAAAUGCGCAGAUAUCAGGAGGAACACCGAUGGCGAAGGCAGGUCUCUGGGCCACUACUGACGCUGAGAAGCGAAAGCAUGGGGAGCGAACAGG